AAGAGAUCGGGAUAACACCUGGAAACAGAUGCUAAUACCGGAUAACAACAGAUGAUGCCUAUCAACUGUUUAAAAGAUGGUUCUGCUAUCACUCUUGGAUUGACCUGCGGUGCAUUAGCUAGUUGGUAGGGUAACGGCCUACCAAGGCGAUNGAUGCAUAGCCGAGUUAGAGACUGAUCGGCCACAUUGGGACUGAGACACGGCCCAAACUCCUACGGGAGGCAGCAGCG
rnacentral:rRNA from 1 species